rnacentral:lncRNA from 1 species
GUCCAAGACUCCAGCAGCAGCUCAGAGAGGGCUCCCUCUAGUAAAUCCUCAUCACUUGGCCCGAAGUCCAGACCUCCCUGGGGAGCAGACAGCUCCAGAAGGUGAGGACUGCAAAAUGGCUGCAAGUUAUAGGCCUCGCUGUGAUCGGAGCUGAAGAGGGAACCUGCGAGUGGGUACUGAGGUCCUUCUCCGCUCCUGAGGUGCUCAGUCCUGUUAGGGUCGGACCUCACCACUGCUGCGGGGCCUGCUUUCUGCGCUAGGUGGCGAAAUGCUGUGGGGCUCCCCUAUUCGGGGGAAUGCGGUAGUGAUGUAUAAGGUAUGAAAGAUGUGGCCUGCAGAGAGCCGGCACUAUCUCUACUGCUGCUGCUACUGCUGUUGCUGCCGAGGCUGCCACAGCCGCUACUGCUGCCGGCAGAGCUGCUGGGAGUGAGCAUCCCCCGUCUGGGAUAACCAGCUCCGCGGCAUCUCCUGCGUGCCCUGGCUCCACAGGGACUGCCAGCCCUAGGGAACAAAAGCGGAGCCCCUUCUCGCCCUCUCCUGCAGCCAGAGGAUGAGUCGAGAGGGCUGAGCGGAGAGUGUGGUUCUUGGCGACUGGGCGGCGGAGAAGGGCCUGCAACAGAGAUCUUAGAUUGUUUAGAAGCCUCCCCCACAGCUAAGGUCAGUAGUAUUAUCCCAAGUUGGAGUCACCUCUUUGCAUUCCUUCACUUCUGUAGUGUUCCCAUCCAUACAAUGGGCUGAGUGUCCCUAAUCUAUGUAAAUCAUGGAUUUCAGCAGAAGAGCAUGUCCUUAAAGUUCUUGAAAAGUAUAAAGUGAUAUAUUAAUAUUAUUACUAUUUUAUUGAUAUAGUGCUAUAGGUAUUCACAGAUAUUUCUCAAAAGAAUGGAAAGAACUCUGAUAGACUAGAACCCGAAAGAAGCCCAGAAUAAAAUCCGCUGAAUUUCAAAUGGGCCUAAUCA